rnacentral:rRNA from 1 species
CACAGCCGCGGCAAUACGGAGGGUGCAAGCGUUAAUCGGAAUUACUGGGCGUAAAGCGCACGCAGGCGGUCUGACAAGUCAGAUGUGAAAUCCCCGGGCUUAACCUGGGAACUGCAUUUGAAACUGUCAGGCUGGAGUCUUGUAGAGGGGGGUAGAAUUCCAGGUGUAGCGGUGAAAUGCGUAGAGAUCUGGAGGAAUACCGGUGGCGAAGGCGGCCCCCUGGACAAAGACUGACGCUCAGGUGCGAAAGCGUGGGGAGCAAACAGGAUUAGAUACCCCGGUAGUCCCUGUCUCUUAUACA